UACGGGGGGGGCAAGCGUUGUUCGGAAUUACUGGGCGUAAAGGGCGCGUAGGCGGCCUUCUAAGUCAGACGUGAAAUCCCUCGGCUCAACCGAGGAACUGCGUCUGAUACUGGAAGGCUUGAAUCCGGGAGAGGGAUGUGGAAUUCCAGGUGUAGCGGUGAAAUGCGCAGAUAUCAGGAGGAACACCGGUGGCGAAGGCGGGUCUCUGGGCCGAUACUGACGCUGAGGAGCGAAAGCGUGGGGAGCGAACAGG
rnacentral:rRNA from 1 species